rnacentral:piRNA from 1 species
UGCUGGCUCUGCAGCCACUAAUGGGA